rnacentral:rRNA from 1 species
GAUGAACGCUAGCUACAGGCUUAACACAUGCAAGUCGAGGGGUAGCAGGGUAGCAAUACCGCUGACGACCGGCGCACGGGUGAGUAACACGUAUCCAACCUACCGUUUACUCGGGGAUAGCCUUUCGAAAGAAAGAUUAAUACCCGAUAGUAUACAGAGUUCGCAUGUUCUCUUUAUUAAAGGAUUCCGGUAAAUGAUGGGGAUGCGUUCCAUUAGAUUGUUGGCGGGGUACCGGCCCACCAAGUCUUCGAUGGAUAGGGGUUCUGAGAGGAAGGUCCCCCACAUUGGAACUGAGACACGGUCCAAACUCCUACGGGAGGCAGCAGUGAGGAAUAUUGGUCAAUGGGCGUUAGCCUGAACCAGCCAAGUAGCGUGAAGGAUGACUGCCCUAUGGGUUGUAAACUUCUUUUAUAAGGGAAUAAAACGGGGAACGUGUUCCCCUUUGCAUGUACCUUACGAAUAAGGAUCGGCUAACUCCGUGCCAGCCGCCGCGGUAACAC